rnacentral:misc_RNA from 1 species
AAUUCUCAACCAUACAAGUUUUUCACAAAACCUGUGCGGCUUGGACCUUGGGAUUUGCGGGCUUUACAAGUCGGCUAUCCUUAAAUGUAUUAGCAGAGCUAUUGUUGAUAAUCUCUGGUGUGAUAGUUAUCUACGCCAUUGAGACGCAACAUAUUUAUGGCUUAGCUUAUAAUCGUCUUCAAAGACAACAUUUGACAA